CAUGAAGCAGAGACUUAACAGAUGGCUAAAUGGGUGUCUGAAUGUUACCGAAAGGUGUGGGGUCCAGCUACUCACUGUUCAAAAGGCCAAUAAACAGGCCAGGUUGGUGGAAGGGAAACUUUGCUUUAUUUCAGAUGCUGACAGCUGGGCAUGAGGGCGGACGUCUGUCCCGAGGCCGACUCAGCCCUCUGGCAGCCGGUGGGGCGAGAGCUUUUAUAGACAGAAGAGGGCUACGUGUGGAAACAUCACAGGCAGCUCUGACCAUCAUCUUCAAGUUGGUCAUCAGUGGUCUGACCAGUGUCCGCUUGGUUGUUUUAGGUACAAUUAGUAUUCAGUUCUAGGGCAGGUUUGUUUCCAUUGUGUUGAGGCCAGUUCUCAGAGUUGUGGUAGCCUAGGGCUUGGCUAUAGUCUGGUCAUCGUAAUUAACUUCUCCACCUGGGAGGGGUUUCAGAACCUGUAAGACAGCUCACAAGAGAUGGCUCAGAAUUUUCUCUGCAGCGCUAGAGAAAGAACUAAAGGUCCUUGACUAUGCUUAAUGUAUUAUUAGUAUUUGUUCUCCUUUGAUUGUUUUCCUGUUUCCACAUGUUCUCAUUUCUCUGAUUAAACUUGUGGUUUGACUAAAGUUUUCCACAAACAAAAGGCAGGCUGAGGACAUGAGGGGUGGGGAGGGGAAGGCCCAUCACGUCCUGCUCCGUUUUAUGAAGGGAAGACCAAAGAAUUGGGAGAUGAGGUUUCUAGUCAUCUCUUUACAUGCUGUGAAACAAGAAAACAACACAAAGCAAUCAAGAGGGUUUGCUCAGGAGCUUGCGAAGGCCAGGGAGACAGUCAGCAUUCUCUGUGCUCACAGGAACAUUUUUGUCAUUACUUCAGCUGAUAAAUCAGAUGAGAUUUGCCUUGAUGAAUAUAUUGUCCUUAUUGGAUCACCGACUGUCUGCUUAGCUGUGGGACCACCUUUCUGUCAUUUGGGGAAUUUAUUCUGUGGAUCUGGUAGCAGGAAGAACUGUUUAAACAUCUGGUCUGUUAAAGAACAAAUGAAGAUAUUCUUUAAGCCUCAAGUCACCAUGAGCCACUUUUUAUGGGGACAUGCUGAAUGACAUUCACUCUUCUGAAUCUAUUCCAAGCUGCACUGCCGAGGUGAAAGUUAAAUCGCUUCAGGAAUCUUGAUGAAGAAGGAGGAGACAGGCUACCAAAAAUCCCUUCCAAAAUAUAUGUAUAUUUUUGGUCCCCCUACAACAUCAUCCAGGGGUCUUUGACAACUUAAGAAAACAGUUUAACAACAGUUAGAAGUUAACUUCCUGAGAUGAAUAAGGAAGCAUAUUUAGAAAGGCUAGAAACCAAUAUGUAUUAGAAAAUGCAAGGCAAGGUUUAGAACAUGUAAAAACACGCAAUCACUCAUCUCAAGGUGAUUCUCAUACUUCACAAAAAAUUACAAAGGAAAAAGGAAAAAAAAAAUAGUAAGAAAAAUAUGCCUCCAAGCCUAUGCACGUUCUCCUUACUUGAAAUCUGGAAUGACUCUUAGGCCUUUGCCUGGGGCCUUUGGACUGAGAAUUGUGAAAUAAUGCAGCUCAUUCCUAGAAGCUUUAUCGUGUGGUUUCUCAGACAGAUCAGAUGCCAACGGGGGUGAGCAAGCACAAGCCAAGAACAGUCAGACAGAUAAAAGCCAGACAGACGAGGACCCGACAUACUUAAAGGAGACUCGAAGAACCAGAGAAACAUAACUGGGGCUAUUUAGUGAAGUCGUUACAUGUAUCAGUGUUUUAAAGUGGACAUUGGCUAUAAAGAAAGAAAAUAAUGAUUCUUGUAUUUCUUUAAGUGGUCAUUGAUUAUAUGAAAUACAUUUAAAUUCUGCCAAAAACAAUGGCAAAUUUUGAAACAUAUUUUGAUUUUGGUUCUUGAUGGGGGAACUUCACUUGUCUGGAAAAUUCAUUUGUAAAAACAACCUCAUUUCUCUCAUAUUAUAUAUAACCAAAAGGCCGUUAUAUUUAACAGUGUGUGUGUGUGUGUGUGUGUGUGUGGUGUGUGCGUGUGUGUGUGUGUGUGUGUGUGCGCGCGCGCGCGCGCACGCGUGCGCGCGCUCAGUAGCUCGGUUGUGCCUGACCCUUUGUGGACCCCCUGGACUCUAGCCCACCAGGCUCCUCCAUCCAUUAAUUAAAUGGAAAUAACAUGGUCAGGCUUCCCUGGUGGCUCAGUGUUAAAGAAUUCGCCUGCCAAUGCAGGAGAUGCAGGAGACACAGGUUAGAUCCCUGGGUCAGGAAGAUGCCCUGAAGGAGGAAAUGGCAACCCACUCCAGUAUUUUUGCCUGGGAAGUCCCAUGGACAGAGGAGCAUGGCAGGCUACAGUCCAUGGGGUCGCAAAGAGUUAGACAUGACUUACCUACUGAAUAGCAACAACAAAUGGCAUGGUUAGUGUGUUUUUUGAAGCUAUGUUGUGACAACUUUGAUGCAAGAUUGUAACUCUUUAUCACUCUAUGUGAAAAACAACUCCGGUAGUUAAAUUCUUUUAAUGCAAGGCGACUAGACAGUGCAGAUAACUGAACCUUCAGCAGUUACAUGGGAUAUGGUGGCAGAUAUUACACCGUGCCCUCCUCCAGCCUCUUCCCAUAAGACCAACAACUGUGGUCCUGUAUUUCAUCAAAAAUAGGGUAGGGAAAAUGUAGAAGAGCAGCAGAGAGAAAUGAACCUUGGAAAUCUCUGAGCCAGCUACUGCCAUUGGCAACCUCCGAGCACUCCGGGGCAGGUCAGUCGCCUAUUUGUCGAGGUGCUGAUUGAAACUCUGGGACACUGGUUCUUUCCCUUAAUACAGAGCCAAUUUUGAGCCAAGCCAUUUAAGACCUUUUGAAAAUGGACUUGAAAAUAGCAUGUGAUAUCCAGAGGAAAAAAUAAACCAUGAUUUAGUAAAUGAAAUGAUC
ensembl:lncRNA